CGGACGCCUACUGGCCACCGGGGCCAGGCACUGUGGAGGUGUCGCCUGGUAGCAGCCGCAGAAGCCAGGGCACCGGCACGGGUAAGAGCUGCCCUCGGGGAGAUCCUGGCACUGGAGCACUGCAGCGGGGCCGCAUGCAGAUGGCGCCUCCGGGAAAGAACAGGUUUUUAAAAAUACAAAUCUUCACUGAAAUAGUCAAUGGAAUUUUAAAAAUAUGAGAGAGAGAACGAGCAAUCGAGAACGUAUGCUUACAAUAGUACUGAAAUUGAGCAAAGACUUCUACCACAUUCUGAAAAUAUCAAGAAUGUUUGCUGGGACCCAUCAAAUCGACAAUGUCAUCCUGCUGACAAUGAAGAGAGAUCUGUAUUAUUUCAGUGGUUUGUAUAAGGAAUUUUGCAUCAGUUGGAAAAAGAAGACCAAAGUUUAGCAACAAAUAACGAAAAUGUAUACAUCUUAGAGAAAGGAUUAUAUUGCUCAGUUUCUUUGUGCUCUUUUUAAAUUAAAAAAAACAACUUCACAUUGGUUUACCAGAUUCUCUUUGAGAAAUCCAUAACUGAGAAACCAAAGGGAAAAAUGUGUAUAAGACAUAUAUCACUUGAAUAAAGUGCAAAAUUACUGUUCAAUAACCUUUAUUAGAAUAAAAGGGAAGGAACUACUUCUAUAAACAAUAAAGAAAAAAAUUAAUUUUUAAAAACCAUCACAUAAAGGGACUAUAAAUGUACAUUUACAGAAAAGUUUUUUAUCAUGCUACAAAACUCAAUCUGCAAAAGACCCAUCUUGGGAAUCAAGAGUUUCAGAAAUACAGCAACUUAGCUAAGUUAUUCAGGUAUAAAGGAGUUUAAAAUACAAUUUUAUGUCAUAAGUUUAUGCAUUUCUUCCUCCUCCUCCUUAUGAACUAAAUAAACUUAUGUACUUUUACAAGAACCUUGUUUUAGAUUCAAGAUAAGCACUUGAAAAGUAAUGUUUACUAUGAUAAUUCUAGAUAUAGGACAAAUAAAAUCAACUAGGAAUAAUAUUACUCUAUUUAUAAUGCUAAUGUUAUGAAUAAACUAUCCAAAACUAUAUUUAAAAGCAGUUAAAAUAUUCAAAUACCCAUUGUUCUGGCAUUAAGGGAAAAUAAAAGAUAACAUAUACCUAACAUCAAAUGCAAUAUAAAGAGACUAAAUGGCAAGCCCACACAGUUUUAUGUAUUCUUCCCAAUUCCAAUUAUUUACCUUUCAAUAGUUAACAUUUCAACUGCAUUAAAAAUUUAGUUAUAGGAACCUUCAGAGUAUAAGCAUUUCUCAGUUUAUGAGAAAGUUGAGAUUUCUAGAUAGCUCAGGACAUAUUUCUUCAAGCAUGAAAACUAGUAUUUCAAUAAUUUUUUAUGGGAAAUUUAAAAAGAAUCACAUUCUUUGCUCCACCAAGAAAAUACAUUAAAUAUAAUAUACUGUAUUUUAUAGUCAUCUCAGGGUCAUGAGUAUGAGUAACAGAUGCUGCUGCUAUGUGUCUAAUGGUGUGCCAGCAUUUUGCACAUGGAGUGAGUACCGUCAGUCUGCUGUUCUGUUUGAAUUCCUAUAAUCAACUUUAAUAGAUUUCUCAGGAUCCUUGCCUGAAAAGGACCAGCCACUGCUUUCUGAUAUGUUGAUGUAUUCAUCAAAGCAGCAUUUCCCCAAAAAUAAUUUGUUAUCUAUUCAAAAACCAGAUCACUAAACUUAUUAAGACUAUGAAAACUGACAGUAAAAAGACAUGAAAAUGGUAAGUUCUACUGAUUUAAGUACAUGUACUGAAUUUUGUUAAAUAUAUAUAGUCUUUUUUGCUUAACUUCAAGUUUUCCAUAUAGUUCAGAUUGCCAAUAAUCUGGGCUUUUGAUAGGUGAAGAAUUAGGGAAUUAAUGUUUUCCUAGUUCAUAUCAAUUACAACCUAAUUGUUACAUAUUUACUUUAUAGCUAUGUCAUAAUAACCUGUGAAUUAUGACUUCUAGUGUAUAACUCAAGUCAAACACCAUGAUGAAUACAAAGGUAAAUCAUAAUUCAUUAUUUUUCACCUUCAUGUAUGUGGGUGAUUCUUGUUGGUAUAUCUAUGUACUUCUAGCUAAUAAGUUAAGAACAAGUUUGCUUUAUUGAUAUAGUUCCAAUUUGUAGUUGAUUUCAGUUAAUUAUAAAAUCAAGCUACUUUUUAGCUUAAGAAUAAAUACAAAGGGAAAAGAAAGGCUUUAUAUGCUAUAUUUGUUAGAAGAUAAUGUUGAAGUAUAUGCCAUUUGGAAGUGACCUAGUCCUGCUGAAUCCUUCAUUAGUGAUACCUUUUACAAUGACUUAGUCUACAUGUAGAACUAUAAUGUAUUUGUGACAGGUCCCAGAGGAAAGGCAAAAUUUGCUUGUCAAAAGUAGGGGGUGUUAUGGGAGUUUUCUCAAGUUAUAACUCACUCAUCAGUAAAUAAAACUGAAAUUCCAAGACUGAACAGUAAAAAGGAGUAGUUAAUACACUUAGAACCUGCUAAAAUCCAGAAGGAAAACAAAAAUAUAAAUGACCCAAUCUUGAAAUCCAUAACUCUGUCAAUAAACAAAUACACAAAUAAUAAGCUCAAGUGACUAAAAUUAUUUCCAUGUGGGAAAAAUCUGGUUGUUUUCUACACUAUUAAAUUGAAGAAAUCUACAGCUUUAUGGGCUGGUAACAGAAAUAUCCUCAGUGACACAAGUGAACUUGAGCAGAAUUUGAAGAAUUAAUAUGAGAUAGGCAAAUGUAACAGACACCAUUAAGAAUUCCAGAAAUCAAAGAACAAUGUAGAUGGUAAAAAUAGUAGAUUACUUAUUUCACACAUAUAUAUAUAUACCACUUGUAAAUUGCGGCAAAUUUUGUCAGCCAACAAAUUCUGGCUAUAUUACAAACUUAGAUCAUUUAAAAAAAUUCAGAAUCAGAAACUCCUAAGGGUCUGCAUUCAUUCUGCUACUUAAAAGCUGAAAUAGAGUUGAAAUAGUUAUUGAUCACAUGGUAAUUACAGUUUCUACUCCUAUUUCUUACUACACUUGUAAACACAUAAUUGCAGCACACAGCAGAGUACAUACUUAUCAAAAAUCGUGACUAACAUGUAUUAAAACUCUUUUGCAGAAGCAGUCAUUGACCCACAAAAGCAAAGUGAUAUAACACAAUAUACUUUAUUAAAUAACACAACUGUUUAUGUAAUAAAAAGGCUAAUAUACAAAUAGCACAUAUGUUAACUAGGAAGGCAAUGUCUUAAAAUAUUAAAAGAUAAUAUAAAACUAAUCUAUAAAGAAACACUAUGAAUUUUUUUAAUAAAAUGGAAACUGAAUGCUUAAAGAAGUAUCCUUUAAACAUCUAAUAAAUAUUGUACACAUUAACAUUAUAUGGCAUUUUAAAAUAGAAUUUUAGAUGACAUGAAGUGAAUCCUAUUUAAAAGAGAAAAGGAUACCCAAUUAAUUUGAUUCUUACUAAAUACAACUUCCUAGGCAUCAAAAUCAUAAUGAAUACUGAUGUAAAUUAUCAAUAAAGCAGCUAUAUAUAUGGUCUUUUACACAUUCAUUUAACAAAAUACAGUGACCAAAUAAACAGUAUUAUAUAUAUUUAAAAUACUUACUUAGCAUAUGGUUAAGUAAAGUACCCUAGACAAAGAAGAGGAAGAAAAUGAUUUAUGUUCAUAUGUCCUAUGAUCCAUAGAAUCACAUGUUUACCUAAUUACUGGGAAUAUGAUACAAGCAAAAAGAAACAACUGAUUUUUUUCUGCCUGUGCCUGACAGGCUAAAAGUAAGUAUUUUCUUAAACUUCUUCCAUUUCCAAUUGAUAAUUUCACUAGGUGAGUACACUAAGUAACUACUUUUCAACCCUAAAACAAGUACACCACCUAUGCAUAUGAUUUAUAGCCAGAUGAUAAGCUAAACUUCAGGAAGAAGAGAAAUCCAUACCAUGGGAUUGGAAAAAGAAUAUACAUAUUUUAUGACCAAGCUAUUCUAUAAUCAUAGCUAUUUCUUAUGUCAAUGGAACAUUUUUAUUUAGGUCCUUUCCAAGUCAAUAUAGAGUGAGAUAAAGAACUGACUCUGAAAAUAUACACUAUUACAUCUGUUCCCUUAAAAAAAAAAACUCAGUAUCAAGAGAAUUGAGGGGUUAGACAUUCUUACUUUUUCAUCAUUUCUAUGUAAAAAUUCUAUACAAGAACGAUAAAAAAAAUUGAUCUUGAAUAUUGUCAUUGCUUAAAUAAACCUAACUUAAAUACCUACGCAAAUCUGUUAACCAAAAGAGAUAGAUGCUUCCACUCAAUGGUAGCCAGUUAUUUCAGUUACUCUUUUUAACAGACGGAGGAAAUACAGGAUAGUGGCUCAUGAAUUAAAUCACUUUAAAAAUAAUACAAGCUUGUACAAAAUUCUGUGUUCUACCAAUAUCACAUAAAACAUUUUAAUGUCACAAAAAUACCAAACAUUUAAUGUCAAUAGACAUGUUAGUCCUUACAUUUUACAACAAUUUUAGUGCUAACCACCUAUGUGAGCAUUUUCUAAACAAAAUAAUUAGAAAAUGUCUUCUACAUAUCAUAUUUUGCAAAUGUAAGACUAAAGUGGAGGUCUCAAACAUACCUUCCUUAAUGCCACUAUAGACUUUUAUCACAGGCAAUAUGAAUGAAUGAGCAGUAAGAAAGCCAAAGUAUUCUUUAUACAUGAAAAUAUAUUAACUGGAAAAACUACUUGGAUAAUUAUUGAAAUCCAAAUUCAUAUAUAAUGAUAACUAAAAUAAUGGGAUCAAUUCAGUUAGCCACAUCUGUAGCAGCUAGAUUACAAGAUUGUAAGUGAAAGAAAAAAUAAAACAUGAAAAAGUAUAUAAAAAUACACAAUAAAGUCAAGUUCCUCUUCACAGCAUGAGAAUGAUUAGACAUUUUUAUACCUGAAACAUGUCUACUUUGUUCUUUAAUAAAUUGAUCUCCAUCUGCUCAUGCCCUUGGAAAAUUUUCAGCAUUAAAGCCUGCUGUGCUCAGGUCCCACAUAACUUUGUAUUUCCAUGUUCAUAAUUAACUACUUAUGCUCUAAUCAAUAGUGUAGAUCUUGAUUUUAUGAUGUAAAUCAAAUAAAUGAAAUGAUGUCUAGGGUCAAUAUCAUUUUAUUUAUAAAGCCCAGCAUGAGCAUGCAAUUUCUUUUUAUCUUAUGUACCUGAACAGCAGUGAAUCUUAUCAGCAGGCCUACAGAAAGUCUUUAAGAGUAAGCACUAGGAGAAAGAGGCCUACAUUUUUACAAAGAGUAUUUGCAAAGCAUGUCCAUCUUAGAAAUACUUUUAAUUAUAAUCCUUAGUACUAUGUAAAUUUACAAAGUGCUUACUCAGACAGAUAGGAAAAAUUUCUGCCUUCAUAUGCUAUGCAGCUCUAAAGCUAAGUCUCUUAAAGUCUCAGCUAUCAAAAGUGAUUUCAGAAAAUUAAAAAAAAAUUUGAUGUUAAUAUUCCACUCUGCUGCAGAGUCCUUCUGAAUUCCUCUUAUCUUUUUUGGCGAAAUAUUCAUAAAACAUUCCCAUAUUGUGAAUCAUUAAAAUAGUGGUAAGUUUGUCAAAUUAGGAACAUUAGUGUUUAAAGAGUGGUCUCAUAAAGUAACAGGAUGUAAAAAUAGGGAAAUAGGAUAAUGAGUGAGAAUAUUCUCAUUACUACUGGUCAGCAACCUAUUUUUAACAUCAUAAAUAUAAAAUCAGAUAAACAUUCAAGAAACCCAUGAAUAUCAAUUAUAUAUAAAUCAUGUAUAGAUACAAUUUUGAAACUUGAGAUGGAUAAAAGUUAAUGCUAAAUUUUUUCAUGUUUAAACAUACCCCAAAUUUCAAAUCUUUUUUCAACAAGGAAUUUAUGAAUUGUGGACAAAGGUUAUGUUCCUCUGUUUCUGUACCUAAUAUAGUGCUGUCCCCAUAAUAGGUGUAAAAUAACAUUUAACUAAAUUUAUGAAAAUAGAAAUUACUUUGUAUAUGUUGUAGAUGAAACCACUUCAAAGACUUCCACAAAUAUUUUUGAAAAUUUAAGAGUGUUCUUAAGGAGAUUAGUCAUAUCCAAUCAAUGUCAACUGCAACAGAAUGAUUCUUUAAAAAUAUUACAUACAGAUGGUUCUCAAAGUGGUGUCCCUGCAGCAUCAGAUCCACUUGGGAACUUACUAGAAAUGCAAAGAUUCAGGCCUCAGCCCAGACCCAUUGAAUCAGAAACUGCAGAGAGACAGAAGGGAAUAAAGUGGAGAGGAGGAAGAUAAGGGGAACAGGACAGCAACCUAUGUUUUGACAAAUCCUUCAUGUGAUUCUGGUGUACUGUAAAGUUUGAGAACCACUGCUCUAUACUACUGUGUCAUUCUUCUUCAUUUCAAAGUCAUGUAAUUUCCUCCCUGAUAUUUUAGUGUUUUUUCUUUUCCCUAUGUGUGACAAACAGCCAUCUUUUAUCUGUCAUACAAUUUUCUCUUAGAUCUAUCUGUUAAAUAUGAACCAUUUAGUGCAUAUUUUCUUGAACACACAUUAACAUCUCCUUUCAAAGCAACUGGACCAAUUAUAGAAAGUAGUUCAUUUUUAUACUGUAGAAAUAUGAGAGCAUGAGAGCAUUUAAGAGACUAUUAAGAGAAAAUGUUUUAUUCUACUUCCUUCAAAAGUUUUCCUGCCCCAAAUAAACAUUUGCAGGACUAAUGAUCUUACGACUUACUCAGUUUAUAUCUGUGAUGUGGGAUAAAGAUUUUAGGGCUAGCACCAAAUAUAUAAUAGCGUAUCCACCACUAAAGAUUACAAGAUGGAGAAUGAUGAUAGUGAAGUAUUCUAAUUAGAACCAAGGUAGAAAGGAUUUUGAUUAAUAGUGACACAAAAACCACAAGGCCUAAUUUUUUUCUCAAAAAAUAUAAUGACCAGUAGUAAUUUCUCACCAGGUAUCAAGGAGUGUCAGGGUCUACUUCCAUUAGCAUAUUCUUUUAAGAAAAUGGCAGUCUGUGAUUUUUCUAAAAAUCACCUAGAGUCUAGUAAUAGUAAUAAUUACCAAAUUUUUCUUAAUCUUAUGUGGUGAUACAUUAUGAGUCCUUUCUUAUCCUUACAAAAGAAAAAAGGGCUACUGGUUUUGCUACAGAUUAUUAAUAUUUUUCCUCCAAUGUAGUCAGAUCUUUUGAUAAGUUAAUCUCAGUUUAUACAUAUUUUAUAUGCAUGUUAGUUUUAUUAAACAUUUUAUCCAAUAUGGUUCCUUACUAUAAUUAUUGAAUAUUAGCAUACAACAACUUUAUAUUUACACUUGCUCAUGACUAUUUUAUAACAUUGCCUACUCUAUUCCUAAAGUCUGAACUAUUUUCAGUUAUCACUAUACCUGAAAAGAUGCCAAAACCACAUUUAUAACUCAGGAAAUUGCAAGAGACAUAUUGACAGUUUACAUGUAUAUGUGCAUUUCAAUUUCAGCAAAGAGUCUCUUCUAAAUCAGUUCAAGAUGGAGUGAUGAAUAUUCAACAUAUUUCUGUCGUUGACUUAAAACUGGAUCAUUAAAGUUUGAAGAUAAAAUUUUAAUUCUGUAAACCUCUGGAGAUACAGAUGUUGAUGAAGAUCUCUCAGCUGGCAGGAUGUCUAUAGUCAAUAGACUUUGUAUCACCAUCCUUAUUUCAUAAUCUCUUAUUUAAGGUCAAGAAAAUAAAAUUAUAUUGAACACAGAAAGUCCAUAUUAAAUCAAUAAAAACUGAAUAAAUUUGGGUACUGCUAAAAAAUAUCUAGAGAUCAACACAGACAUACUGUUAUUAAUGAGCUUAAAACUGAGAAAACUUCAUGCUAAAAGUGCUUUCACACUAGGACUAAUAAUCAAAAUUAGAAUGGCAUAUACUUCACAGGUCUUUCACUUUUGCUGAAUAUUAUAAAUAGAAAUAACAAUUCAUGUAAGAGUCUAUAGCUGUUUUCCAGCACAGCAUUUCAUAUAUGAAUGUAUGUAUUAAGUUAGAUGAAACAGAUUAGCAGACAAGUGGAAUGCAUUGUCUUUCUUAUUUGUUACUGAUAUUGUUUAACAACAGUGAGGAACACAUUGCAUUUAAGUCCCACAGGCUUCCGUUACUCUUCAGUAAGUCCAAAUACUGUGUAUCAUCAUUUGCCAAAGAGGCAAGAGGGAAAGACGUUACUUAGGACAAUUCUGACAGACAUUAUCUAGUAGUUUUCAACAAUGCACAUAUCAAAUAUUUCUGAUUAGUGCAAAAAAAAAAAUAAGUACAAGGAAAAAAAUAGAAAAAAAUCCCACAGGCAAAUUAACUGCCUUGUCAGUCCAAGUAACAAACCAAUCAAAUUACAUUCUAUUCAAACCUGACAAGCAAAGGCAACUUUUUGCAGUGAUAAGCUUAUGGAAAGGACAAGAUAGCUGUUCUCCUUUACUUUAUGUAUUCUAUUGAGAGUGUUAUCCACAUUUUUAAAAUCACACUUAUAAAAGAGGUUUCCAGGAUUGCCUCCGAGGAUGAGCUGUGGCAGAGUUGGGU